CCUACGGGAGGCAGCAGUGGGGAAUAUUGGACAAUGGGCGAAAGCCUGAUCCAGCAACGCCGCGUGAGGGAUGACGGCCUUCGGGUUGUAAACCUCUUUCAGUAUCGACGAAGCGCCCUGUCGGGUGGUGACGGUAGAUACAGAAGAAGGACCGGCCAACUACGUGCCAGCAGCCGCGGUAAUACGUAGGGUCCGAGCGUUGUCCGGAAUUAUUGGGCGUAAAGGGCUCGUAGGCGGUUUGUUGCGUCGGAAGUGAAAUCUUGCAGCUUAACUGUGAACUUGCUUUCGAUACGGGCAGACUUGAGGCAUUCAGGGGAGAACGGAAUUCCUGGUGUAGCGGUGAAAUGCGCAGAUAUCAGGAGGAACACCGGUGGCGAAGGCGGUUCUCUGGGAAUGUACUGACGCUGAGGAGCGAAAGUGUGGGGAGCGAACAGGAUUAGAUACCCUGGUAGUCCACACCGUAAACGUUGGGCGCUAGGUGUGGGGCCUAUUCCAUGGGUUCCGUGCCGCAGCUACGCAUACGCGCCGCCGUCGGAGGUACGGCCGCGACGACGUAAACUACAAUAGAAGUAGACGCGUGAGACGCGACCGACGACGACGACGAGGGAGUAGG
rnacentral:rRNA from 1 species